rnacentral:misc_RNA from 1 species
UCCGGUUUGUCACCGGCAGUCUGGCGUGAGUCCCCAACUUAAUGCUGGCAACACGCCACGGGGGUUGCGCUCGUUGCGGGACUUAACCCAACAUCUCACGACACGAGCUGACGACAACCAUGCAGCACCUCUAUUGGCUCCCUUGCGGGUCAGCCGCUGUUUCCAGCAGCUUACCACCAAUAGUUCAAGCCCAGGUAAGGUUCUUCGCGUUGCGUCGAAUUAAACCACAUGCUCCACCGCUUGUGCGGGCCCCCGUCAAUUCCUUUGAGUUUCGGUCUUGCGACCGUACUCCCCAGGCGGAGUGUUUCACGCGUUAGCUGGGCCCCUGAUCCACGUAGACCAAGGGCGAACACUCAUCGUUUACGGCAUGGACUAC